GCAUCGGUAGUUCAAUGGUAGAAUGUCCGCUUCCCAAGCGAAUGAUCCGGGUUCGAUUCCCGGCCGUUGCA